GGGAGGGUCCCGGGCAGGUCGCGCAGGCCCUGCGGAAAGUGGGAGCCACGAUGGGCUGUGGGCAGAGCAGGGCCGCGCCCGACUCCAGGCUCACGGGCGCCCACUGGCGGCUGCGGGGAGAACGGGCCGUGGGCGGCGCCGGGAGGGCAGGCAGAGCCGCUGCGCGGGUCCAGAGUCGGAAGAUGGGGCCCAGCCAGUUUGGGGGCUGAGGCGUGUUAUGAAUUGAGUCCCGGGAAACCAGAGAUCGAGCGGCCGAAGGAGAAAGGGCGCUGCUUCAGCAGGACGGCGGGGCGGGCCGCCUCCAGCAGGUGCCUCUGCUGAAACCCGGAGAGCUGGGAGGGAGCCAUGCUCCUGGUGGGGCCGUGGUGGGGCCCGCAGGCUUCGGGUCACGCAGGGCUCCUGCUUGAGAAGUCAAGGGAGGGCGCGGGCAUGUGCCAAGCGGCGGGAACCAGGACAGGGACUGAAGGCAGCGGACCUGCAGCGCCAGGGCCAGACCGGUGCCCAGAGGACGGAGCUGCCUGGGACGUCAUGAGACCCGGCAGGCACUGCCAGCGAGACUCGCCCCCACUUCCGACUACCCGGCAGGUCCAGGUCCUCAAGCCACCUCCCCGGCCUCCGUACUUCCUGGCAGGGUCUGCCAACGCGGGACUUGAGACAUGGCCACGCACAGCACAGUGCCCCACAGCGGCAGGCCCCUCUGCACCAGCCAGGUAGGUGACAGAUGCUCCCAGUAUCCCCCAACUCUGGAUGCGGGGUGAGGGUCUCCAGCUGCAGUGGACCCAUGCUUUUAAGCUGUCCCACCCACCUCUUUCCCAAUCAGAUCACAAGUGACCCACGCACGCAUUCUACGUAUAAGUUGAUUCCAAAUUGAGAGAUGAAACAUCAGCAUAUUGUUUUUUUUAAAGAUGGGGUUUCAUCAUGUCGGCCAGGCUAGUCUCCCCUAACUCCUGACCUCGGGGGAUCCGCCCACCGUGGCCUCCCAAAGUGCUGGGAAUACAAGUGCGAGCCCCACCGCGCCCAGCUGCAGAUGAUCCUUUUUUUUUUCCUGAGACAGUCUCACUCUUGUCACCCAGGCAGAGUGUAAUCUCUGCCUCCUGGGUUCAAGUGACUCUCCUGCCUCAGCCUCUCAAACAACUGGAAUCUAGGCGCACCCAAUCAUGCCCAACUAGGGUAAUUUUUGGGUCUUUAAAAGUACAGAUCGGGUCUCAGCGUGUUGUCCAGGGUUGUCUUGAACUCCUGACUCAGGUGAUCUGCCCACCGCACCCAGCUGCAGAUGAUGUUACAUUUGAAGACAGAACCAAGUGCAGUGUCUGACACCCCCAUCCCAGCGCGGGGAGGCCGAGGGAAGGUCACUGGACACCCCCGAUCCCAGAGCGGGGAGGUCGAGGGAAGGUCACUGGACACCCCCGAUCCCAGAGCGGGGAGGUCGAGGGAAGGUCACUGGAGCCCAUGAUGUUGAGGCUGCCGUGAGCUGCGAUCACAGCGUGGCAACAGGUAAAGACAAAAAGGUGGAGACGCUAGAGCAGGGCCUACAGGACAUUGUUGUGGGGCGCUUGAGGGUGAACCAAGGGGGGCUCCUCACAUCUCCCCUGAACCCACGGGCCUGGCUGACCUCUCACCCUCUAAUCCACUGCUCAAGGGGAGACCCCAUCCCCCACUGCUCUGCUGGACACUGCGUGGGCAGUUGCCACCUCCCACCUCGACUGAGGGUGACUCCAGCAUCGAACCCAAGUCAGUUCUCGCCAUGUUCUCCCACCCCCAUUCAGCCAUCAGGGAGGCCACCAAGGGCUGGAAGGUGCCCCAAGCCCAGACACACGGCGGCCACCGCGUCCUGUUCUUUCAAGCAUCCCGUGCGAAGGUGACUGGGCUGGUCAGACUAUGGAUGGUGCAGCCGAAGCCACGGGACAUGCUGCUCUGUCCUGGGACAUGAGACCCCAGGCUGGAAGGACAAGGCUGGCGGCAGCCAUGGAGCCUGGUGGGAGGGCAGAGCCCGGAGAAUGGGUCAGGAGCUUGUGAGGAGCUGCGUGGGCCGACGAUGGGAGAGGCUCAGGUUGCCCAAAAGUUCCUGCUGCUGCUUUGCUUCCUGAGGGGACCCUCCUCCAAGAGACGAGAGGCCAGAAGGGAGACCUAGGGGAGGUGGGGGCCUGAGGAGGGGCUGCCCUGAGCCCAGGAGUGGUCCCUCUGCAUGGGGCACCCAGAAGACAGCAGGAGGCCAGCCAGCUGCCCCCAGGCAGAGAACGCUGACGGCCGAAGGGACAGGGCUACCCCUGGGCUUGGGCGCACAGCUGUCAGCCUCGGACACCAAGAGGCCCUCGCGCAGCACUCCGUCACGGCCCGGAAUUUCCAACCUGAACCCCCUCACAGCAAGAAGCGGAGCCGGCCCCCGGCCGAUCCCAGGGCCCAGACGCAGAAGGACAGGCCUCGCGCAGGGCUGGAGAUCUGGGUGCCUUUAUUCGCAGAGCCGCUACUUGAGGGGGAUGAAGCGGGACGAGUGAGUGGCCCCGAUGCCCGGCCGGCCGUGCUUCACGGGCUUGUAGGUGAUGGAGAACUCGCCCAGGUAGUGGCCGAUCAUCUCGGGCUGCGGGAGGCGAAGAGGAGAGCUGGGCGUCAGGCGACCUUCCUGGCCCGCAGGGAAGGCCCAGCCCGCAGGGACGGCCCACGCACCUUGACCUGCCCACCCCCGCCGCAUCCCAGCCCGCAGGGACGGCCCACGCACCUUGACCUCCCCACCCCCGCCGCAUCCCAGCCCGCACGGACGGCCCACGCACCUUGACCUCCCCACCCCCGCCGCAUCCCAGCCCGCAGGGACGGCCCACGCACCUUGACCUCCCCACCCCCGCCGCAUCCCAGCCCGCACGGACGGCCCACGCACCUUGAUCUCCACCUGGUUGAAAGUCUUGCCGUUGUAGACGCCCACCAUGCUGCCCACCAUCUCGGGCAGGAUGAUCAUGUCCCGCAGGUGCGUCUUCACCACUUCCGGCUUCUCCAUGGGCGGCGCCUCCUUCUUGGCCUUGCGCAGGCGCUUGAGCAGCGAGUGCUGCUUCCGCCGAAGGCCCCGGUUCAGCCGCCGCCGCUGGCGCGCACUGUACAGCUGCAUCAGCUGCUCGCUGAGGACGCACGGGGCAGACCGGUCUGAGGGCCCCGCCCGGGGCGACCCCACCCACUCCGGGGGACACGGCUGCGCUCAUCUGUCACCGACCGUUGCAGUGACUUAAAAGCAACACGCAGAGUCCCUCCGGCACCCCCGCCCGGUAAGCGCGACGCACCGCAGAUGCAAGAGCUACCGAGUGACUGCAGAGCCACUCAGAGGGGACAAUCGGCCCCGAAGCUACAGCCUCGGACAAGGUGCGGUCACGCACGGCUCCCCCGGGCAUCCCGCGCUUUGGGAGGCCGAGGCGGGUGGAUCACGAGGUCAGUAGGUCGAGACCAGUCUGGCCAACAUGGCGAAACCCCGUCUCUACUAAAGAUCCAAAACUUGGCCGGGGGGUGGCACCGCGCGCCUGCGGUCCCGGCUCCUCGGGAGGCGGAGGCAGGAGAAUCGCUUGAACCCGGGAGGCGGAGGCUGCAGAGAGCCGCGAUCGCGCCACUGCGCUCCAGCCUGGGCGACACAGCGAGACUCCAUCCCCAGCAAAGACAACAGAAGCACUAACUUGCCCGCCACGUGCCUUCGCCCUGCUCGGAAAGGAGCGACCGGCGCCCACCCCCGGCCUGGGAACCUCAGGGCUCUGACGCUGCCCGGUAUCCUCACCCACGUGGGCUGCGCCCUCCGCCUAAUCCGCGGAGAAGGGAACAGACGGGGCGGGUUGAAAAGCAAAACCUUCAACGUCUCUGGACGGUUUUCUGGGCGCACAACCGCGCUCAGUCCUUCGGCGGGGGAGGCGCUGGGACCCCGGUCCGGCCCCGCCCGCGACCCCCGCCCCAGCCCCGCCCCAGCCCCGCCGGCCUCACUAGGACAUGUCCAGCAGCUGGUCCAGGUCCACGCCGCGGUAGGUGAACUUGCGGAAGGUCCGCUUCUUCUUCUGCUCGACCUCUGCCUGCGCGGGCGCGGGCCGGGCGUCAGCGGGAUCCCGACACCCUCCACCCGGGGCCACCGGGCACGAGGACGCCGCGGACGGAAACCCGACGGCGACACACCGACUGGACCCCCCCCCUCCCCGGGGUCACGCGCGGCUCCGGGUUACGGGAUCCCGGACGGGCCUUCCCCGCCCCGCGUCGUCCCGACACCCACCGGGCCCGCCCCACGCCCCGACAUGUGGCCACCUCCAAGGUCCGGAGCCGACCGCCGUAGUCGCGGGGCCGUCCUGAGGCUCCCGCGGACGGUCAGAGGUCGGAUGGAGCCGGAUAGGCCCGGGGUAGACGCGCCAAAUCGCAACACUCACCAUCUUGCCGGAUCCUCGGAAAAGACCGUUCUUGUCCGCGCCUGCGCAGUUAUCGCGAGACCGCCAGCGUGUCCCGCCCCCUCGGCCGUGAAAGCACACGCGCUUCCGCUUUCCCGGCGGCCAACGCGCGCCCUCUGCCGGCCGGAGGGCGACACACAGGCUGCGGGGACUAACGGGGCGGAGCUCUGCAGAACCGCUUCCUCCAGUGGGACUCGGGCACGUGCUCCGUUAUCUAAAGGGUGACACCCACCUCGAGUAUUCAUGGAGCGCCUACUGUUGGCUCGUAGGUGCGGUUUGGGGGUUUAGGUCCUAGUGCGGGAGGAAGACGAGGUUAUUGCAGAUACCGGAGCAGGGACAGGGCCACGAUGACAAGAACCAUUCAGGCGUUAACGAAAAAUUUUGUAUAGAAAGUUGGGGCAGUGAGACUGCCUCGCUACAAAAAAAAAAAAAUGCAAAAACGUGUGUACACACGGACAGAACAGAAUAAAAAAUACGAAAGUCAGCCGACAUGGUGGCGUGCUCAUGAUCCCAGCUACUCUGAGCCUUGAGCCCAGGAGGUCAAGGCUGCAGCGAGCCGUGAUAACGCCAAGGGCGCUCGAGCCUGGGCGACAAGAGCAAGACCCUGUCUCGACAAUGAACUCAGGAGCAUCCCUGGGUUUGUAAGACAUGCAAACGUAGCAUGAAUGAUGACAGCUCAAAAAGAAAGAAAAACCAGAACUACAUAGGAAUGCUGCUUUUUUUUUUGAGACGGAGUUUUGCUCUUGUCCAGGAUGGAGUACAAUGGCACAAUCUUGGCUCACUGCAACCUCCACCUCAGAGGUUCAAGAAAUUCUUAUACCUCCGCCUCCCAGGUAGCUGGGAUUACAGGAGCCCACCAGCACACCUGGCUGAUUUUGUAUUUUUAGUGGAGAUGGGGUUUCAUCAUGUUGCCCAGGCUGGUCUCGAACUCCCGACCUCAGGUGAUUCACUCACUUUGGCCUCCCAAAGUGCUGGGAUUACAGGCGUGAGCCACUGUGCCCAGCCUGUAUCUUACUGGAAUUAAGCAUAAAGUUGAAGGUGACGAUUACUACAAUAACUUGGCACCCAGCUGGGUGGAGAGGCUCACGCCUGAAUCCUAGCACUUGGGUAGGCUGAGGCGGGCAUUCACCUGGCAUAUCUGGCCAACAUGGUGAACUCCAUCUCUCCUAAAAUUACCAAAAAUUGGCCGGGCACGGUGGCUAACGCCUGUAAUCCCAGCACUUUGGGAGGCCAAGAUGGGCGGAUCAUGAGGUCAAGAGAUCAAGACCAUCCUGGCCGACAUGGUGAAACUCCAUCUCUAUUAAAAAUAACAAAAAUUAGCCAGGCAGGGUGGCUCACGCCUGCAAUCCCAGCUACUCAGGAGGCUGAGGCAGGAGAAUCGCUUGGACCCGGGAGGUAGAGGUUGCAAUGAGCUGAGAUCGUGCUAUUGCACUCUAGCCUGGGCAACGAGCAAAACUCCCUCCUAAAAAACAGACCCCCAAAACCUCUGGGAACCCAAGCUUAGCUGUGGCGCCGUCCAGGGAGCUCAGCUCUCCCGAGCCUUCCCCACAGUCCCAAGAAAAGCCAAUGACAGUGCCCAGGAGGGGCUGCCUCUCCCUCUCCCUGAGGAGCACAGCACCUGUGUGUGGGGCCCACCCAAGUUGCCCAUUUUCCCGCAGCAGACGCCAUCCUGGCUGGCUCGCCCGCCGAUUUUGUGCGUGCUACUCCUUGGCUGGGGGAGCUGAUCAGACUCGAGGGGCUGACACAAAACACCAGUGGAGAAGGCUGCUCCCGCCUGGCCCCGGCCUUCCGCCAGCUCCUGAGGAUACGGGAGAAAGCUCUGAGAGAGGGAACAGGGCUGGCUUCCCGGGCAGAGGCAUUGGGGGAUAGUGUCUCGGUGAGAAAACUGCACUGCACAGGGGUGUGGGGGGAUACUCCUUUUCUUGGCUCUCUCUAAACUAAGCCAAACCUUCCCUGCCCCCCCAGAUAGGAACCAGGGCAAGAGGUUCUAGCUGUUGUUUGCAGGCUCUCACACUUGGAAUGCUGUAGGCUUCCAAUCGGAAACUUGGCGGACCCAUUUAUUUAUAUAUUUAGAGACAGGGCCUCCUCCCCCUGUGACCCAGGCUGGAGUGCAAUGGUGUGAUCUCGGAUCACUGCAACCUCCAUCUCCCGGGUUCAAGCAAUUCUCCCCGCUCAGCCUCCCAAGGAGUUGGGAUUACAGGCACGCGCCACCACGCCCCGCUAAUUUUGUGUUUUUAGUAAAGAUGGGGUUUCACCACGUUGGGCAGGCUGGUCUCCAACUCCAGACCUCAGGGGAUCUGCCGGCCUCAGCCUCCCAAAGUGCUGGGAUGACAGGCGGGAGCCACCGCACCUGGUCUUUUUAAGUCUCGCUUUCCCUGCCAGAGUGACAGUAUUGCUUCCAAAAGAUGCCCCUGUCCUAAUCCCCAGAACCUGGGCACGUGUCACCUUCCAUGGCACGAGAUGUUUAAUCAAGGUCACGGGAUGGGAGAAGGCUGGAGCCCACACUCCCAGAGCAAUCUACUGGUGGCCACACCGUAAAACUCCCAGCACCCCAACACCCACUGAGGGGUGGGCCCAGGCCGAGACCAAGGAGGGAAGAAACAGACACAGUGGUUUCUAAUCCAAACGCACUUCUCUUUAUUCAAACCAGGGUCAAACUGGUCAGUGGGAAACACCCUGAAGCCACGUGCCUGGGGAGAUGGCCUCCAACUCGGCCCACCCAGCCGUGGGAUCCAGACCGCCAGUGUCCACGCGGCUGGCUGCGCGCAGCCCCCACAGCGCACCUCAGAGACUACCAGGCAGGUCAGUCGACAAAAGCAAGGAAUUAAAUGAAAAACAGAAACACACUCAGUAGAUUUCUUCUUGAAGCUCCCAGAGUUUCUGGACCAAGGAGUCCCAACCCCCAAAGCAAGGGGACUAGAAACGCACCCCCUCCACCAGUGCUGACGGAAACCCUGUUUUAAAUUAAAAAAUAAGCCAGUAUACAUCGUAGAAAAUUUCUCUUAAAAAUCUCACAAUUUGUAAAUGUAUAUUUUUUCUUUAACAUAAAAGUUUACAAUAUACCAUAAAACAAAAGGCUCAGGAAAAUAAUUUCCAAAGAAAAGAAGAAAAAGAAACCUGAACUUUUGAAUUAAAGCUGAAGACAUUUUUUUUAA